CGCCGUUGCGCGGGAGAGUUCCGUGGCCGCCAGCUACGGACGCCGAAGGAGCAGCACCUCUCCGUCAACCUCUCAGGCACCCGGACCGCGCAGCCUAA
rnacentral:ncRNA from 1 species